CCGCAAUCCGAUUUCAAUAAGUGUGUAUGUGGAUAUAUAGACAGGUGGCUGCUUAUAUACAUCAGGGAUACGUGUCCAUGCGCGCAUAAUUUGCAGUUUAAUGAAAAGCGUGACAUUUUAUUGUAUUUAUUCAGCGAUUAUUUUAUAUGGGCGUUUAUAAGUAAUAAGCUGACAGCAGAAAACAUAGUCUACAUCAGAGUUGGACCCCGAUAUCAAACCUCAAUGGAGGAUUGCCUUCAUCAUCAUCAUGGUUAAACGGUCGCAAGCGCCGUAGCUUUAUUAUUAUAAUACCUAUAUAAUAUCUUAGAUUUAUUGAUGGGAAGUAGGUAGAGGAUAAUGCCGUUGCGAUAAAUAAGAUAACAUUGUGAAUAUUAUGUAUUACACCAACUUUAGCUAUAUCUAUAUUAAGAAAAGGCUUAUCAUAUAACCUUCAUAUCAAUUACAGCUAUUAAGAAAAGUUUCAUAUGGGACUAAAUCAAUUUUUCUUGGAUCAAAGUUUAUGUGCGGAUAAUAUGUGAUAAGGCAAGCUUCUUAAAUCAAAUUGAUACACUUGAGGCAGCACCUUCAUAAUA